rnacentral:rRNA from 1 species
CAGUCGCCGCGGUAAUACGAGGGGAGCUAGCGUUAUUCGGAAUUACUGGGCGUGAAGCGCACGUAGGCGGCUUUGUAAGUUAGACGUGAAAGUCCAGAGCUCAACUCUGGAAUUGCCUUUAAGACUGCAUGGCUUGAAUCCAGGAGAGGUGAGUGGAAUUCCGAGUGUAGAGGUGAAAUUCGUAGAUAUUCGGAAGAACACCAGUGGCGAAGGCGGCUCACUGGACUGGUAUUGACGCUGAGGUGCGAAAGCGUGGGGAGCAAACAGGAUUAGAUACCCCUGUAGUCCCUGUCUCUUAUAA